CUCCAGACUCCUACGGGAGGCAGCAGUGGGGAAUAUUGCACAAUGGGGGAAACCCUGAUGCAGCGACGCCGCGUGAGCGAUGAAGUAUUUCGGUAUGUAAAGCUCUAUCAGCAGGGAAGAAAAUGACGGUACCUGACUAAGAAGCCCCGGCUAACUACGUGCCAGCAGCCGCGGUAAUACGUAGGGGGCAAGCGUUAUCCGGAUUUACUGGGUGUAAAGGGGGCGCAGACGGCAGCGCAAGCCAGGAGUGAAAGCCCGGGGCCCAACCCCGGGACUGCUCUUGGAACUGCGCGGCUGGAGUGCAGGAGGGGCAGGCGGAAUUCCUGGUGUAGCGGUGAAAUGCGUAGAUAUCAGGAGGAACACCGGUGGCGAAGGCGGCCUGCUGGACUGCGACUGACGUUGAGGCCCGAAAGCGUGGGGAGCAAACAGGAUUAGAUACCCUCGUAC
rnacentral:rRNA from 1 species